CCCAAGAGAUCGGGAUAACACCUGGAAGCAGAUGCUAAUACCGGAUAACAACAGAUGAUGCCUAUCAACUGUUUAAAAGAUGGUUCUGCUAUCACUCUUGGAUGGACCUGCGGUGCAUUAGCUAGUUGGUAGGGUAACGGCCUACCAAGGCGAUGAUGCAUAGCCGAGUUGAGAGACUGAUCGGCCACAUUGGGACUGAGACACGGCCCAAACUCCUACGGGAGGCAGCAGUC
rnacentral:rRNA from 1 species